rnacentral:lncRNA from 1 species
UUGUUAUGAAAAAGUGCUCCUUGAAGUACUUCUCUCAAUGUUAUUGUAAUAAAGAGAGAAAACACUUGGAAAAUCAAACAAUGCUUGCAAAAUAUUUUAAAGUCUUUAAUUACUAACUUUCUGGAGCAUCUCUGAGAUGAUUACCAUACCAGGGUUAGUGAGAUCUCCACGUUAAGAUUUUCCUUGUUUCCUUCAAAUACCCUCAUUUUCAAAGGUUAAUUACUUGGUUGUAAAAGUGCACUCCAGAAUGAAAUUUAACCUAUGAGUUCUCCAUCUCAAGGUGAAUAUUUUUGGCAGUUUUUUUUUUUUUUUUUCAGAAAUAGAAAGCCAUCUGUUUAACCAAUUUGAAUACAUUCUUAUAGAAGAAUUUUUAAAAAUAGGAAUACAGAGGUUCACAGAUUUUAAGCUCUUUGGAGUAUUGGUAAAACACAUUAUGACUUUUAUGCUUGGAAAAAAUAUGAAGUGGUGCUUUCAGCUGUAAAUCAAUACUAGCAAAUAAAGCUGGGUGAGAAAUGGGGAUAUCUUUAGGACAAAAAUUUUUUGAUCAUCCAAAAUGCUGAUCAUUUGUGGGCCAUAGAAAAGGAGGAUUUAUUGUUUUUGAAUGGUUCAAUUUUUAGUAAGAUAAAGCACAUAUAAUUUGAGAGAACUUCAAACAGAAUGUGGUUCUUAUUAAUAUCACAUAACCUUUCCUACAAAACUUUUCCUUUCUCCCGCCUCGCUCCCAUUAGAAGCAUACUCAACAUGUUGACAGCUACAACUUAGGAAGGUGUUAGGCCAAUAGUCUCUCCUUUUGAGAAACUGGAUCAUUAAUUCAAUAUCACAUUACUAGUUUUCUUCAUAAACCAAAUGCACGGGGACAGACUCCAUUCUGCAGGGUUUAAUCACACACAGGUGGCAAAAACCACAGAACAUAGCUCCUAAUCAGCUGAGCCUUCAACCACAGAUUCACUCCACGCACACGUCACUCUCAUUAUCAUUAGUAUGAAUAAAACUCUAACUUAUUUACACAUUCGGAAGAGGCUGGCUCUCAGGGUUGGUGACUAAAUAUGUACCCAUAAUAAUUACAUUGUCCCACUCCCAAAUGUGCUUAUACAUAUCAGUAUGUUUUGAAAUUGAAUAUUGUCCUCCAGAGCAGAUGAAUCAUUGUUUUCUGAACAACCUGUGAGUUAUUUCCUUUGCAUUCUAAAUACUCACAUGCAUCUAAAGCUAGCAUUUCUGUUUUUAGAAAACUAACAACCUCUAGGACCUCAGGUUGAUUUAUUUUAAGUCUUGCAUACAAUAGGCAUUCAAUAAACAUUCACUGAAGAAUAAAUGAAUGAAUCCCAACCACCUGAAUUUGGGAACCCAGCCUGUGAUCACAAAGCCUAGGCCCCAGGGGAGAUUCCAGAUGGAAUUCAGGAUAAAAGCCCCCCAAACUAGACUCAGAUCUACCUCGUGUAAUUGUUUCCACUUAAUUCUGAGUUUAAAUCCCAGGAGGAAAUAAUCUUAAGGUUUCCAAAAGAUCCAGACAGAAUUGGUUAGGCAGAGGUCCAAGGUGAUAGAUGUGACUUUCAGAAGUAGCUAGGACAUUCCUUCGUAUAAAAGAGCCCUUGGAGGGAAAAGGGGAGGGAAUAAAUUAGGGAGUCGGGAUUGACAUAUACACACUAUUAUAUAUAAAAUAGGUAGAUAACAAGGAUCUACUGCAUAGCACAGGGAAAUCUACUCAAUACUGUGUAAUAACCUAUAUGGGAAAAGAAUCUGAAAAGGAAUGCAUGGAUACAUAGAUAUAUAUCCAUAACUGAUUUACUUCGCUAUACACCUGAAACUAACACAACUUUGUAGGUCAACAAUACUCCAGUAACAUUUAUUUUUUUAAAAAAAAGAGCCCUUGGAAUUUCUCUAAACCUCCUCUGGAGGCCAUCUCUGGGCUGGUGAUCCCAGAGAGGCACGUUCCAGAGUUGUGUGGUUGUACAUCAAAAUAAAGCAAAAAUGAGAGGAGUGAUGCAUUCUGAGAUCACCCCACCCCCAAGUCCCACCCUCCCACCCCUAUUGCCACUGUUACUGGUCCAGUCAUAUCCAGGUGGGAAGGCUGCCCACCUAGCCUGUGACCUGAGGACACGCCAGUGUGUAGGGAAGGAGCCUGAUGCAGAGGAUUCACGUUUAAUGAGCUGACUCCCCUACCAAUUGGAUGGGGAGCAGAAGGAAGACAAGCACAGCUGUGGGGGAAGGAGUAGGCUCCCUGUUUUCACAAAGGAGCUUAUAUCAAAAUCAACAUGCCAAGAGUUCCUAUUGUGGUUCAGCAGGUUAAGGACCCAACGUUGUCUCCAUGAGGAUUCAGGUUCAAUCCCUGGCCUCACUCCAUGGGUUAAGGAUCCAGCAUUGCCACAAGGUGUGGCAUAGGUCGCAAAUGUGGCUUGGCAUUGCCACACCAGAGUUGCCAUGGCUGUGGUAUAGACCUUAGCUGUAGCAAGGAUUCCACCCCUAGCCCAGAAACUUUCAUAUGCUGCAGGUGCAGCCCUUAAAAGAAAAAGAGAAAAAAGUCAACAUGCCAGACAGACACUGUCUAAUACCCUCUCACAACACCAAGUUCUUUACACAGAAAGUCACUAGCCUUUAUGCCCAAUAGGUUAUAAGCUCAAAGGAGGCAGAAGCAUCCACUUCAAGUUGCUAAAAUUUGCCUGCAGAGACCCCAAUGCCUGUCAUGAGCUAGAUGCCAGGUGAAUAUGUGGCUCUUGAGUGAAUGGCAGCAGAUAACAGUGGGUUUUGCUCCACCCUGUAGAGCUCAUUAGCUGUGCCAGACAAAACUAUUUUGCGCCACAGCUGCUCAUCAGUAAAAUAGGGAUGGUAACAGUAUUUUUGUUGGUAACUAUGAAAAAUGAGUUAAUAUGGGAAAUGUACUUUGAAUAGGACCUGGCACAUAGUAGUACAGUAGCAGUAGCAGUAGCAGUAGCAGUAGCAGUAGCAGUAGCAGUAGCAGUAGCAGUAGUAGUAGUAUUCCAACCUCUGAUUUCUGCUGUAGAGUGGAACCAGGUCUUGUCUAAUUGCUAGGACCUCAUGCUGUCCUAGAGAUGCUCACUGCCCCGUGGGAACAUUCACACUUAUAAUAAAACAUCCUCCUUUUGUGAAGAGGAAGUCAAAGCUCACCACUAGAUAAAAUGAACUCUAUGAAAGGGCCAAUGUCUUGCAAAGGUUAAAAAGAUCCUAAAGGAGUUCCCCGGUGGCUUCGUGGGUUAUGAGCUGGCAUUGUAACUGCUGUGGCUCUGGUCACUGCUGUGGCACAGUUCAAUCCCUGGCCUGGGAACUUCCACAUACCAGUGAGCAUGGUCAAAAAAAAUUUUUUAAUAAAAAAUAAUUAAAAGAUCCUCCAGCGCAAGAAGCUUAUAACCACUCUUGUCCUUAAGUAUUAAAAAAAAAAAAUGUAUCCGAGUUACUACCCAAGAUCCACUGAUAUUAAACAUAAAAGAUAACUUCCCCACACAGUGCGUAAUUUGCCCAAAAUGCCAUCAGUGCAAUUUUGACAGGUACAAGGAGAUGCCCGAUAUUGCUAAUUGUUCCCUGGGCUUAACCUCAGAUGUGAUUCAGCUAACUGCUAUCUUGGGUUUCAUGGUUUCCAUGCACGCUGCCUCUGGGGUAAUUCUCUGAGGAGUUUCCGGUUAUCUAGGACGGUGAGAGGGCCUGGGUGUGUGCGCCCGGGUCACUGAGGAGGCUGUGUGAGUGGAUCAGGAUCAGGAGCAUCUUAAAACGAAACAGCUGCAUCAGAAGUGGUCCAGGCCUGGGCGCAAUACGAUAGCUGCUAUUAAACUCCACUUUGAGCUUCUCCUGGCUUUGAUGAUUUCUUUCUUCCUCUCCAAAGUUUAUCAUUCUUUUCCUGACAUUAAGUCAACCUCAUAAAAGCUCAAUUUUUGUUUUGGCUCGUAUUAAAGUUUUCAUUGUGUUGGUGGUGGUUGCAAGAUUUUGGUUUUGGUUUUGUUUGGGGUUUUGUUUUGUUUUUGUUUUUUUUUUUGUCUAUCUGGUCCAGGAAAACUAUAAAGUGAGGUGGCCCAGCCAUUCUAAAUGCUCCUGAAUAGUUGUGGAACCAGGAAUUUUUGUUUCUC